rnacentral:rRNA from 1 species
UGACGGUACUUGACUAAGAAGCCCCGGCUAACUACGUGCCAGCAGCCGCGGUAAUACGUAGGGGGCAAGCGUUAUCCGGAUUUACUGGGUGUAAAGGGAGCGUAGACGGUUCUGCAAGUCUGAUGUGAAAGGCAGGGGCUCAACUCCUGGACUGCAUUGGAAACUGUGGAACUAGAGUGCCGGAGGGGUAAGCGGAAUUCCUAGUGUAGCGGUGAAAUGCGUAGAUAUUAGGAGGAACACCAGUGGCGAAGGCGGCUUACUGGACGGUAACUGACGUUGAGGCUCGAAAGCGUGGGGAGCAAACAGGAUUAGAUACCCUG